UUUGUUGGUUUUGCCAAGUAAGGUCACUUGAGGAUAUUUUGGCUCGAGGUCCCAGGCUGCGCAGACUGCAUCGAGUUGAGGAUUUUGGUCAGAAUGUUAAAGGGGAAACCUACCCCAGGCUGUCGUGACUUUUGCAUUCUGGUAACCAACUGAUCUUACCCGGACCCAUGAUGCAUAACUCAUCUGGUCCUGUGGCACACACCCAGAGGCCGACUUAAUGCAUGAAGACUGUUUUCCACACCCCUAUGAUUUCAUCCCCAACCAAGCAGCAGCAUCCAUUCCCUAGCCCCCUGCCCACCAAAUUAUCCAUAAAAACUCUGGCUUCUGAGUUCUCAGCAAAACUGAUUUGAGUAAUAACUCCAGUUCUUCCACUUGGCUGGCCUUAGUUAAUUAAACUUAUUCUUUACUAUA